CCCUUAGAUGUUCUGGGCCGCACACGCGCUACACUGGCAGGUUCAUCGAGCUUCAUGCCCUGAUCUGAGAAGAACGGGGAAUCUUUGAACACCUGCCGUGCUUGGGAUAGAUGUUUGCAAUUAUUCAUCUUCAACGAGGAUUGCCUUGUAAGCGCACGUCAUCAGCGUGCAUUGAAUACGACCCUGUAUUCUGUACACACCGCCCGUCGCUCCUACCGAUUGAAGUUUUCGGUGAAUUUACUGGAGAUCCCUUUUGAAGGUGGUUCGCCACUGGAAGAAGUAUUCAAAAGUAAAUGAAUCGAAUGCUUUAGAGGAAGGAGAAGUCGUAACA
rnacentral:rRNA from 1 species